CCUUACCAUAUUCAAAAAAUUUUACUGAAGAACAAAAUCAGUACAUAUUUGAUUUAAAUCUAUUAAUGUACAAUACAACUAGGCAUUACAAUAAUAGAAUAAUGUACUUUGAUACAAAUAAAUUUAUAAAUAAUUUUGUAAUGACAAAUGAUACAAUGUAUCUAAGUUUUUAUUAUAAAAGACAAAUUGCUAUAUUGAUAGCAAAUAAUAUACAAAUUGACCCGGGUUCUACUACGGUAACCUCUUCUUUUAAUAAUAUUAGUAGUUCUACUAAUACAACUAUUGAUACACCUGAUAGUUUAAACUACAUGGUGCGACAAAGGGUGGGCCACAUCAACUGAAUGUUGUACAUCAAAACAUUCAGGGCCUUUCCGGCAAGGAUUUAGAAUUAAGUUUAUUUAUUGAGCAUUAUAUGGUACAAGUAAUGUGCAUAACUGAGCACUGGCACAGAAAUUCUGAAAUAAUAUUCCUUAAUAAUUGUAAUUACACAGUACAAAGUGCGUUUGUUAGAAAGGAAGCCAUCCAUGGUGGCUCUCUUAUAAUUGUGUCUAAUAAUAUAAAGUGUAAAGAACGUUUGGAUAUAGUUAAAUUAUCAGUGGAGCGCAACAUAGAACUGUCAUGUGUUGAACUGGAGCGGUUUGUUAUAAUUUGUGUGUACAGGCCUCCUUCUGGGGAUUUUAACAUCUUUGAAUCGGUAAUGGAAAAUUCCCUUUCUAAACUAAAUUCAAGUAGUAAAACACUUUUAGUUUGCGGUGAUUUCAAUGUUAAUAUUUUAGAAUCAUCUCCCUUAACUAUAAGGUUGCUUAACUUAUUUAAAUCUUUCAACUUGUUUAAUUUAUUUCUAGAACCAACAAGAAUUACGGCAACCUCGUCAACCUGUUUAGAUAAUAUAUUUAGUAAUUGUACCGCCACGGAGACUCUGAUUACCAAUGGCCUUCCUUCCGAUCACCGUGGUCAACUGGCAACUGGGUUUCCUGAUAGACAGCAUAAAAUCAAACGGGAAAUAACAUGUCGCCCCUUAACAACCAGUCGUUUUAAUACUUUCAAAAAUAAUAUAAUUGCAAAACUAGGCUAUGAGAUAUUAGAUAAUGACAAUCCCCAUUUAAUGUACGGAGCUCUGUUCGAUAUCAUUAAAUAUGAAUUUAAUUCUAGUUUUAAAACCAAAACUUUCGUAAUAAAAGAAACGGCUAAUUUCAAUGAGUGGGCUACCCCCGGCAUUUACAAGAGUAGAGCUAAGUUGUAUGAGCUGUAUGAAAUGAAAAAUUAUAAAUUUGAUGAAAAUUUUAUUACAUUUGUUAGAAAUUAUUCCAAAUUGUUUAAAAAAGUCUGUCAUGCGGCAAAAUCGAUGUAUUUUAGUAAUAAAAUCAAGAACAGUAAUAGUGUAAUUAAAGCUACGUGGAAUAUUAUUAAUAGUGAGACUGGAAAAAUAAACAGCGUGAUACUCGAUACAAAAUCGUUGAUGAGGAUCAAGUUUAUGAGAAAGAUUCGGAUGUAGCUAGAGAAUUUAAUACCUUCUUUUCUAAUAUUGCAAUAAAGACCACUAGCGACUUAGACUCCUCUACCACCAACGCCGAAAAAUUUUUACGAAGUAGUGUUAGCCAAUGUGAAGCCACAUUUACUUUUAGUUAUAUUACACCUCAUGAUAUAGUUAGAACCUUCAAGUCAUUAAAUUCAAAAAAGACAGGUGACUUGUGGGGUAUCUCUGUAAAAGUUAUAGACUGUAUUAUUGUCGAUAUUGCACCCUAUUUGGCUAGUAUAUUUAAUGAGUGUAUUGACUCAGGUACCUUUCCGGAACUUAUGAAAUACAGUAAGGUUAUACCACUCUUUAAAUCAGGGAGCAAGAAUGACCUAGGCAACUUUAGGCCGAUUUCAAUUUUACCCGCGUUAAGCAAAAUUUAUGAAAAAUCAUUUUAAAUCAGCUACUGCGCCAUUUCAAUGUACAUAAUAUUUUACAUGCGGAACAAUAUGGUUUCACUAAGGGUCGCUCAACAACGGAUGCCGGAGUUGCUCUACUGAAGCACAUUUAUACCGCGUGGGAGAAGUCGCAGAAUGCAAUUGGGGUGUUUUGUGAUCUUUCUAAGGCGUUUGACUGCGUCCAACAUGAAACGCUUACUCAGAAGCUUAAGUACUAUGGCAUUAGAGAUAGCGCACUUAGUGUUAUUAGCUCAUAUUUAAGCGGCAGAAUGCAAUGUGUUGACGUUAAUGGUGUCAAAUCUUCCAAUCUACCCGUUUGUUUGGGCGUACCGCAAGGCUCGAUUCUAGGGCCAUUUUAUUUCUUGUGUACAUUAAUGACUUGCCAUAUUAUUUAAAAUCAUUGUGUGAUGUAGUAUUGUUUGCUGAUGACACGUCUCUAAUUUUUAAAGUUGAUAGGAAUAGAGUAGAUUUUGAUGACGUGAAUUCGUGUCUGUCGUUAGUAACGCACUGGUUCACAGCCAAUAAUUUGGUUUUGAAUGCGAAGAAAACCAAAUGUAUAAAAUUUGCUUUGCCAAACGUGAAAAAUCUCGGCCCCAGUGUAGUUUUAAACAACGAGGAAAUUGAAACGGUCCAAGCUACCACUUUUCUAGGAAUAACUGUAGACUCCAAAAUUCAAUGGGGUGAGCAUAUAACUGGCCUCACGAAUAGACUAAGCUCUGCUGCGUACGCUGUCAGAAAGAUACACGCAGAUGGCAGCUCUGAAGUGGACAACAAGUGUUUUUUUUUAUAUAUAUAUAUUUUGCGACUAAUAUUGAAUUGUAUAAUUGUAAUUUAAUUAUAAUUAAAUUGUAAUAGACAGCUGUGUUGCUGGGAAGUUUGUUCUUCACCACUUCUUCUUCCCAGCCAUAACACUAGGAAGUGGUGAAAGGGGGGCGUUUUGGGGGUGCUGUAAUUUUGUAUUUUUUGACGUGAAAAAGUGCUAGAAUCUAGCCUAUUUUCAAUAAACGAUUUUGACUUUGA